CAGUCGCCACGGUAAUACGUAGGUGGCAAGCGUUGUCCGGAUUUAUUGGGCGUAAAGCGAGCGCAGGCGGUCAAUUAAGUCUGAUGUGAAAGCCCCCGACUCAACCGGGGAGGGUCAUUGGAAACUGGUUGACUUGAGUGCAGAAGAGGAGAGUGGUAUUCCAUGUGUAGCGGUGAAAUGCGUAGAUAUAUGGAGGAACACCAGUGGCGAAGGCGACUCUCUGGUCUGUAACUGACGCUGAGGCUCGAAAGCGUGGGUAGCAAACAGGAUUAGAUACCCCGGUAGUCCCUGUCUCUUAUAC
rnacentral:rRNA from 1 species